ensembl:lncRNA
UCAGCAGCCAUCAUUAUUUUUAAACCUGUUUUGAAAACCUUACAAUGAUAUUACACCAUGGAGACACACGAGGGCGCGCCAGGCAUCUAUUUAAAAUGUGUUUUCAUAGCUUUUCUUGAAGGAUGUAAUUUUGAGUGUGUACAGGAAACGGGGGGCCGCAGGGGAGUCUUAAGGGUCCCCUGUGAGUGACAAGGGCAAGUCUUAUUUCCAGCUUGGUCCAGUCUGCCAGCCUUGUCAAUGAAAUACCAGGAUUCCCUUCCUGAAUGCUCCAUAGUGGAAUCAGGGAUGUCAUAUAAAAGACACAUCGCUUGCAGCCUGUGGGGGCGGGUUUCCUUCUUGCAGCAGAAUGCUUCUGAGAUUCAUCCGUGUUGUCCGUCGGUAGAUGGUCUGCUCCUUUUGAUUGCUGACUCGUACGUAAUUUAUCCUAUGAAUGAAUGAGCCACCGUUUGAUCCAUUCCCCAGGUGAGGGGAUUUGGGUUGUUUCUAGUUCUUGGUGAUUGGGAAUAAGCUGCUCUAGCCCUGCAUGUACUGGUUUUUGCAUGAACAAAGGUCUUCAUUUCUGUAGGUUACACACCAGGAGUGGGACUGCAGGAUCGUACGAGUGUGUGUUUAACAUCAUGGGAAACUGCCAUGCCGUUUUUCAGAGCGGCUGCACCAUUUCACAUUCCCACUAGUGACGUAGGAGCCUGAUAGCUGCUCUGCAUUCCCACAUCUGCUUUUUCUCAUCAUUGAAUUUCUACCAUCAAGCAUAGAACAUGGCACUGGUAAGUGCUCAACAAAUAUGCACAUAGUAAGUACACAGAAAUAUGCGUACCUACUAUGUGCACAUAAACGGAUAGUAGAGGCUAUCACAGAGUGGGAUCAGGAGGAUGAAGUAGGGUAAAGUGUACAGAGUGCUUGGCACAGUGCCUGGCCCUUAGUCCCUGAGGAUCUUUGCUGGCAGCAGAGGCCACUCUCCCCAGGGGAGGGCCACAGGGCAGGGGCCUUAGUUCCAGCCACAGAGAGACUGCCUAGCAGAACCCUCCUCUAUGUUAAUCUCUGGCUCCCUGAGUUCUAGGCUUUGGGGAUAGGAAGAUCUUCUCUCCCCAGGAACUGAGGAGGUAAGAAUCCACCCCCGUCCCAGCCCCAGCAAGACCCCCAGGGCCGCAAGCACUUCCUGAGCUUCUCUGUGCCCCCCUCCAGCCAGCCUAGAAGAAAACCGGGAGACCUGGCUCCGGCUGUGUUUUCCUUGCCUCCGCACUCUCGAAUGGGAGGCCCACAGGCCAAGGAAUGGAGUAAGUCUGUUUUCCUAGCUGGCCUUGUCCCCUCAAGGGGACACCAGUGCCUCCACGUUGCUGAGGUUUCUCCCACUUUAGCCAAGCUCUCUGCCUGCCCUUGUCCACCCCCACUGGGGGCCUGUUUGCCAGAAUCUUUCAGCACCUCUUCUCUUUCACAAUCAAUCUGACCCUUUUUGCUAUUGUUUUUGUAGGUUAAUUGAAUACGUUCUCCUCUCGGUGGAGACAGCAGGCAGGGCCAAGCACAACAGGCCCAGUGCGAAGGGGGCUUGGGAGGCCCAUCCCACCUCGGCAGCCUGGGGCCUGCUCAGGCAAGGGCAGGGGGACACUGAUGGGGCCAGGAUGUAAUUGACCUCGCCUGCAGGCAGCAGCUCGCUGGGGUGGGAGACGCGGGGGAGGAGAGCACCAGGCCACCCUUUCAAUCCCUGCUCUUCCUUCCUCCUUUUUUUUUUCAGAGCAGAUUAUCCCUAAAUUCUUCAGUUGGUAUUUUCUGAGCACCUUCUAACAGCAGAAAACUGUAGCACGCCUCGAGGUGUGAUGAUGGAAACCAGGCUGGCCGUGGUCUCACCCACGGGCGAGUUUGUGCCCAAGGGGACACUUAGCAAUGUCUGGAGACAGUUUUGGCUGGUGGCGCUGAGCAGGGGGGUGCUGCUGGCACCCCUAGUGGGUAGCGGCCAGGG